GGUUAAGCGACUAAGCGUACACGGUGGAUGCCCUGGCAGUCAGAGGCGAUGAAGGACGUGCUAAUCUGCGAUAAGCGCCGGUAAGGUGAUAUGAACCGUUAUAACCGGCGAUUUCCGAAUGGGGAAACCCAGUGUGACUCGUCACACUAUCAUUAACUGAAUCCAUAGGUUAAUGAGGCGAACCGGGGGAACUGAAACAUCUAAGUACCCCGAGGAAAAGAAAUCAACCGAGAUUCCCCCAGUAGCGGCGAGCGAACGGGGAUGAGCCCAGAGCCUGAAUCAGCAUGUGUGUUAGUGGAAGCGUCUGGAAAGGCGCGCGAUACAGGGUGACAGCCCCGUACACAAAAGCGCAUAUGCUGUGAGCUCGAUGAGUAGGGCGGGACACGUGGUAUCCUGUCUGAAUAUGGGGGGACCAUCCUCCAAGGCUAAAUACUCCUGACUGACCGAUAGUGAACAAGUACCGUGAGGGAAAGGCGAAAAGAACCCCGGCGAGGGGAGUGAAAAAGAACCUGAAACCGUGUACGUACAAGCAGUGGGAGCCCCACCACUAAGCCAGUGGUGAACUCCACAUACGCAUCCUUUGCUGAGGAUGCGGUUAACGGAGCGAAAGCGACGUUCAACCGCAAAAGAAGCAGAGGGGGCUUAGUGGUGGGGUGACUGCGUACCUUUUGUAUAAUGGGUCAGCGACUUAUAUUCUGUAGCAAGGUUAACCGAAUAGGGGAGCCGGAGGGAAACCGAGUCUUAAUUGGGCGUUAAGUUGCAGGGUAUAGACCCGAAACCCGGUGAUCUAGCCAUGGGCAGGUUGAAGGUUGGGUAACACUAACUGGAGGACCGAACCGACUAAUGUUGAAAAAUUAGCGGAUGACCUGUGGCUGGGGGUGAAAGGCCAAUCAAACCGGGAGAUAGCUGGUUCUCCCCGAAAGCUAUUUAGGUAGCGCCUCGUGAAUUCAUCUCCGGGGGUAGAGCACUGUUUCGGCUAGGGGGCCAUCCCGGCUUACCAACCCGAUGCAAACUGCGAAUACCGGAGAAUGUUAUCACGGGAGACACACGGCGGGUGCUAACGUCCGUCGUGAAGAGGGAAACAACCCAGACCGCCAGCUAAGGUCCCAAAGUCAUGGUUAAGUGGGAAACGAUGUGGGAAGGCCCAGACAGCCAGGAUGUUGGCUUAGAAGCAGCCAUCAUUUAAAGAAAGCGUAAUAGCUCACUGGUCGAGUCGGCCUGCGCGGAAGAUGUAACGGGGCUAAACCAUGCACCGAAGCUGCGGCAGCGACACUAUGUGUUGUUGGGUAGGGGAGCGUUCUGUAAGCCUGUGAAGGUGGCCUGUGAGGGUUGCUGGAGGUAUCAGAAGUGCGAAUGCUGACAUAAGUAACGAUAAAGCGGGUGAAAAGCCCGCUCGCCGGAAGACCAAGGGUUCCUGUCCAACGUUAAUCGGGGCAGGGUGAGUCGACCCCUAAGGCGAGGCCGAAAGGCGUAGUCGAUGGGAAACGGGUUAAUAUUCCCGUACUUGGUGUUACUGCGAAGGGGGGACGGAGAAGGCUAUGUUGGCCGGGCGACGGUUGUCCCGGUUUAAGCGUGUAGGUGUGUGUUCCAGGUAAAUCCGGUUCACUUUAACACUGAGGCGUGAUGACGAGGCACUACGGUGCUGAAGCAACAAAUGCCCUGCUUCCAGGAAAAGCCUCUAAGCAUCAGGUAACAUCAAAUCGUACCCCAAACCGACACAGGUGGUCAGGUAGAGAAUACCAAGGCGCUUGAGAGAACUCGGGUGAAGGAACUAGGCAAAAUGGUGCCGUAACUUCGGGAGAAGGCACGCUGACAUGUAGGUGAAGUGAUUUACUCAUGGAGCUGAAGUCAGUCGAAGAUACCAGCUGGCUGCAACUGUUUAUUAAAAACACAGCACUGUGCAAACACGAAAGUGGACGUAUACGGUGUGACGCCUGCCCGGUGCCGGAAGGUUAAUUGAUGGGGUCAGCGCAAGCGAAGCUCCUGAUCGAAGCCCCGGUAAACGGCGGCCGUAACUAUAACGGUCCUAAGGUAGCGAAAUUCCUUGUCGGGUAAGUUCCGACCUGCACGAAUGGCGUAAUGAUGGCCAGGCUGUCUCCACCCGAGACUCAGUGAAAUUGAACUCGCUGUGAAGAUGCAGUGUACCCGCGGCAAGACGGAAAGACCCCGUGAACCUUUACUAUAGCUUGACACUGAACAUUGAGCCUUGAUGUGUAGGAUAGGUGGGAGGCUUUGAAGUGUGGACGCCAGUCUGCAUGGAGCCGACCUUGAAAUACCACCCUUUAAUGUUUGAUGUUCUAACGUGGACCCGUGAUCCGGGUUGCGGACAGUGUCUGGUGGGUAGUUUGACUGGGGCGGUCUCCUCCUAAAGAGUAACGGAGGAGCACGAAGGUUGGCUAAUCCUGGUCGGACAUCAGGAGGUUAGUGCAAUGGCAUAAGCCAGCUUGACUGCGAGCGUGACGGCGCGAGCAGGUGCGAAAGCAGGUCAUAGUGAUCCGGUGGUUCUGAAUGGAAGGGCCAUCGCUCAACGGAUAAAAGGUACUCCGGGGAUAACAGGCUGAUACCGCCCAAGAGUUCAUAUCGACGGCGGUGUUUGGCACCUCGAUGUCGGCUCAUCACAUCCUGGGGCUGAAGUAGGUCCCAAGGGUAUGGCUGUUCGCCAUUUAAAGUGGUACGCGAGCUGGGUUUAGAACGUCGUGAGACAGUUCGGUCCCUAUCUGCCGUGGGCGCUGGAGAACUGAGGGGGGCUGCUCCUAGUACGAGAGGACCGGAGUGGACGCAUCACUGGUGUUCGGGUUGUCAUGCCAAUGGCACUGCCCGGUAGCUAAAUGCGGAAGAGAUAAGUGCUGAAAGCAUCUAAGCACGAAACUUGCCCCGAGAUGAGUUCUCCCUGAGACUUUAGGUCUCCUGAAGGAACGUUGAAGACGACGACGUUGAUAGGCCGGGUGUGUAAGCGCAGCGAUGCGUUGAGCUAACCGGUACUAAUGAACCGUGAGGCUUAACCUU
rnacentral:rRNA from 1 species